GUACGGGUUAGGAUUAGGGUUGGGGAAUGGGUACUCUUUAGGGUACAGGUUAGGGUCUGAUGAGUUAGUGUACAUGUUAGGGGAUGGGUUAGUGUAUGGUUUAGGAUUAGGCUUAGGGUUAGUGUUAGAGAUGGGUAAAGUUUAGGGUACAGCUUAGGGUACGACAACAGGUUAGGCUUAGGGUAUGGAUUAGUAUUAGUGUACGGGUUAGGAUUAGGGUAUGGUUAGGGUAAGGUUUAGGGUACAAAAACGGGUUAGGGUACGUGUUAAGGUAUGGCUUAGUGUUAGUGUACGGGUUAGGGUUAGGGAAUGGGUAUGGUUUAGGUUACAUGUUAGGGUAUGACAACAGGUUAGGCUUAGGGUACGUGUUAGGGUACUGACUAGUGUUAGUGUAUGGGUUAGGAUUAGGGUAUGGUUUGGGUAAGGGUUAGGGUAAGGGUUUUGGUUAGGGAAUGG